AGCUUGCACAGGUGCUGCAUGGCUGUCGUCAGCUCGUGUCGUGAGAUGUUCGGUUAAGUCCGCUAACGAGCGCAACCCCUCACUGUGUGUUAUAUGUGUCACACGGGACUGCCGGUCUUAAGCCGGAGGAAGUGGGAUGAUGUCAAGUCAGCAUGGCCUUUAUAUCCCUGGGCUACGACACACGCUACAAUGGCCAACACAAUAGGUUGCUAAGCCGCGAGGUGGCGCCAAUCCAUAAAGUUGGUCUCAGUUCAGAUUGUAGGCUGCAACCCGCCUGCAUGAAGAUGGAGUUGCUAGUAACCGCAGGUCAGCUAUACUGCGGUGAAUACGUUCCCGGGGCUU
rnacentral:rRNA from 1 species